ACAGAUUCGGUCCUAGUCUUAAUAUUAAUUAUAAUUAAGUUUAUACAUGCAAGCUUCAACAUCCCCGUGAAAAUGCCCUUUAAUUUCCUACUAAAAAUAAAGGAGCAGGUAUCAGGCACCAAUAGCCCAUCACACCUUGCUAAGCCACACCUACACAGGAAUUCAGCAGUAAUAAACAUUAAACAAUGAGCGAUAGCUCGAUUUAGCAAUAAUUAGACAGAAUUGGUAAAUUCCCGUGCCAGCCACCGCGGUUAUACGAGGAAUUCAAAUUAAUAUUCACGGCCCAAAGGGUAGUUUUAGAUAUAAUAAAAUAGGAUUAAAAUCUUACUUGACAGUUAUAAGUGAAUGUAAAACAUAAAACCAAAAACGAAAGUUAUACUAUAAUUUCUUGAAUCUACUACAGUUAAGAACCAAACUGGGAUUAGAUACCCCACUAUGCUCAACUUUAAAAUUGGACCUCUCGCCAGAGCACUACGAGCCACAGCUUAAAACUCAAAGGACCUGGCGGCGCCCUACACCCACCUAGAGGAGCCUGUUCUAUAAUCGACACCCCCCGAUAAACCUCACCACCUCUUGCUAAUACAGUCUAUAUACCACCGCCUCAGUGUACCUUUUAAAAGAAUAAAAGUGAACGAAAUAAUUUUAAAUAAAAAAGUCAGGUCAAGGUGUAGCAAAUGAGAUGGAAAGAAAUGGGCUACAUUUUUUAUUUUAAAAAACACGGAAUAUUCUAUGAAAUAAAAUAUGAAGGAGAAUUUAGAAGUAAAAAGAAAAAAGAGUGUUCUUUUUAAAUAGGUAAUAGAGCACGCACACACCGCCCGUCACCCUCUUUAAAAUAAUUAAGCUUAAUUAUAAAAGAGGAAAGUCGUAACAUGGUAAGUCUACCGGAAGGUGGCCUUGGAUA
rnacentral:ncRNA from 1 species